rnacentral:rRNA from 1 species
GACGAACCGUACGAACGUUAUUCGGAAUUACUGGGCUUAAAGGGUGCGUAGGCGGCAUCGAAAGUAGGGUGUGAAAUCCCUCGGCUUAACCGAGGAACUGCGCUCUAAACUACGAUGCUCGAGGAAGAUAGAGGUCCGUGGAACUUCGGGUGGAGCGGUGAAAUGCGUUGAUAUCCGUGGGAACACCGGUGGCGAAAGCGACGGACUGGAUCUUUUCUGACGCUGAGGCACGAAAGCUAGGGGAGCGAACGGG